GCCCUCGGCGUGAGGCCCCGAAGCGCAGGCCUCUGCGCUAAUGAGAGGGCCUCCUCCAGAGGGCGUACA
rnacentral:snoRNA from 1 species